rnacentral:lncRNA from 1 species
AGACAGAGAACAUGUGGAGAGAAAGAUCAUAGUGAAUGAACUACCAUAUGGAGAGUGAAGCCACAUGGAAGAGAACCACAUUGCCCCAGUUUGACAGUAACAGCAAAGCUCCAUUUAUUGAGAAUGAAGCAAUCUUUGAUCUCUUAGCCCUAAUCAAGUCACCCCAGCUGACAUCACAUGGAGUAGAGACAAGCCAUCCCCACUGAGCCCCAAAUAUCCAACCAACAAAACUCACUGAAUGGAUCCCCAGUGUCUAACUGUGUAAAACAGCUGAGACGUCACUGCUUUCCAAUCUCUUGAAGGACAAGUGCUCAUCUUGGCUCACCUUGGAACCCACUUCAGAACCCAGGGGAAGUGGCUACCUGCAAGAUGAGGAGACAGGAGAAGCAGCAGAAGAAAGGAACCAGAUUUCCUGCUUUCUUCUAUAGUGAAGAGAAUUGAACCCAGAGUAUCACUUGCAUAAGGAAACAAGACUGUUGGCUGCUCAUGCUUUCAUUGCAUUGAUUAGCUACUUCCUCAAUAUGGAGCCACCCUUGACAAAUGCAGCCAGAAUGUAAGUUUUCCUUCACCGACGGAAGUAGCUGUGGUAGAAGAAAGAUAAUUCUAGACUCUGAGGGUUUUUGGGGGGGUUUUGUUUCGUUUUUACAUUUCAUCACUUACAUUUCCUCAUUGUCUUACAAGAAUAACUCACUUCUCCCAGUUUCCAAGGUCAAGAAGAAAUAUCAGGAGAAAAUAACUCUCUAGCUCAAUUUUUGUAAUUCUCAUAUUCCACAUCUGGUGAUAAAAUCAUAUACUGCCACUUUUAAAGUUUAUGCUGACCAUCAAACUCCUUAUUUCCUUUCCUUAGGCAGAAGUCUCUGUGUCUGGUGGGUAAAUGAGAAGUAUGCAGAGGUAUGCCUAAGGAUAGUUUUAGGCAGAAGAGUGAUGUUUGCAUAAGUAUAUUUUUAUUUAAUCGACGAAAGAAGGUUGACACAAAAAUUACUUAAUAAUAGAAGAAAAAUCUGUAAAAAUAUAUCAAUUUCUCUUUGCUACUACCUCCCACAAUAACACAUACACAAAUUUCCUUCAGAGACAAACAGCAUAUUGUGCAGAAUUUGCUGUAACCAAGGUAACUAAACAUUGUUCUCAUAUCAACUUUUAAGACGAAAAAAACAGGCAUUGUUGUAUUGAAUGUUUCUUUGUAGUAGUGUUUAUUGCUAUGAUAUU